CAGCAGCCGCGGUAAUACAGAGGGUGCGAGCGUUAAUCGGAUUUACUGGGCGUAAAGCGUGCGUAGGCGGCUUUUUAAGUCGGAUGUGAAAUCCCUGAGCUUAACUUAGGAAUUGCAUUCGAUACUGGGAAGCUAGAGUAUGGGAGGGGAUGGUAGAAUUCCAGGUGUAGCGGUGAAAUGCGUAGAGAUCUGGAGGAAUACCGAUGGCGAAGGCAGCCAUCUGGCCUAAUACUGACGCUGAGGUACGAAAGCAUGGGGAGCAAACAGGAUUAGAUACCCCCGUAGUCCCUGUCUCUUAUAC
rnacentral:rRNA from 1 species